AAUGAACGUUGGCGGCGUGGAUUAGGCAUGCAAGUCGAGCGUGUACCCCGCAAGGGGGAAAGCGGCAAACGGGGUAGGAACGCGUAGGUCACGUACCCUUCGGACGGGGAUAGCCACGGGAAACUGUGGGUAAUACCCGAUAACGCCGAGAGGCCAAAGGUGUGAUUCCGCCGGGGGAGCGGCCUGCGUAGUAUUAGCUAGUUGGUGAGGUAAUGGCUCACCAAGGCGAAGAUGCUUAGGGGGUGUGAGAGCAUGACCCCCACCACUGGGAC
rnacentral:rRNA from 1 species